rnacentral:rRNA from 1 species
UGCGGAGGGAUCAUUACACAAAUAUGAAGGCGGGCUGGAACCUCUCGGGGUUACAGCCUUGCUGAAUUAUUCACCCUUGUCUUUUGCGUACUUCUUGUUUCCUUGGUGGGUUCGCCCACCACUAGGACAAACAUAAACCUUUUGUAAUUGCAAUCAGCGUCAGUAACAAAUUAAUAAUUACAACUUUCAACAACGGAUCUCUUGGUUCUGGCAUCGAUGAAGAACGCAGCGAAAUGCGAUAAGUAGUGUGAAUUGCAGAAUUCAGUGAAUCAUCGAAUCUUUGAACGCACAUUGCGCCCUUUGGUAUUCCAAAGGGCAUGCCUGUUCGAGCGUCAUUUGUACCCUCAAGCUUUGCUUGGUGUUGGGCGUCUUGUCUCUAGCUUUGCUGGAGACUCGCCUUAAAGUAAUUGGCAGCCGGCCUACUGGUUUCGGAGCGCAGCACAAGUCGCACUCUCUAUCAGCAAAGGUCUAGCAUCCAUUAAGCCUUUUUUUCAACUUUUGACCUCGG